UUUUUCAGUGGGAGUGUUACUAAAGGAAAACACAAAUGGCUGCAUAAUGUGUGUUUCAUCAGUCUGCUCUCAGGCCCUGUAAUACACAGAAAUUCUCUCUCCACUUUGUGGAAUAUCUCUGUACAUUAUAAAAGAAACACAAUAGAGAUCUCUGUUGUAGGAAGGUGGUGAAGGUUGUGACAAGCUUGGUAGACAAAGAGGAGAAGAUGGCAAAGUGACCAAAGCACCCUCCCUGUGCCACUCACAGAUCUCCAAAGCACACACAGGAGCUUCCCUCACUCCAUCAUUCCUCAGAGAAGCCUUUUCCCAGCUUUCAUCAUCCUUGUGGCUCCUUGGAGCCCUUUCAGCAUAGGAUAAACCACACAAUGACCCUGAAAGCAGUUUUCUUCAUGUCUGAGGUCGUGUGUGCUCAUCGUCUCACGAUUCCCGCUGAGCUUCUUCUCCAGCACCAAAAGCUCCUGAUUUCUCCCCAAGACAGGGCAGCAGUGCCAGCAGCUCCUCUGAAGGCUCUGGGGAAGGCUGGGAGCCAAAAGCUGCCAGGAUUUUGUCUCUCACCAUUUGUGGCUCCUGGCUGCUGCUCUGGGGCUGCUGCAGGGUUUCCCUCACCACCAAUUCCUCUCCUGUCCCUGAGCAGCGGCCACUUUGGAAAGACUUCUUUUAUUUUAAAAGCACUUCACUAAUGUGUUCAAUUCCUUCCCAUCUUAAUUCAGAUUUUUCACUACCCACACCU